rnacentral:rRNA from 1 species
UAGCAUAUCAAUAAGCGGAGGAAAGAACCAACAGGGAUUGCCCCAGUAACGGCGAGUGAAGCGGCAACAGCUCAAAUUUGAAAUCUGGCCCCUCGGGCCCGAGUUGUAAUUUGUAGAGGAUGCUUUUGGCAAGGUGCCGCCCGAGUUCCCUGGAACGGGACGCCGCAGAGGGUGAGAGCCCCGUCUGGCUGGCCGCCGAGCCUCUGUAAAGCUCCUUCGACGAGUCGAGUAGUUUGGGAAUGCUGCUCAAAAUGGGAGGUAUAUGUCUUCUAAAGCUAAAUAUUGGCCAGAGACCGAUAGCGCACAAGUAGAGUGAUCGAAAGAUGAAAAGCACUUUGAAAAGAGGGUUAAACAGUACGUGAAAUUGUUGAAAGGGAAGCGCUCAUGACCAGACUUGGGCUUGGCGGAUCAUCCGGCGUUCUCGCCGGUGCACUUCGCCUCGCCCAGGCCAGCAUCAGUUCGCGCCGGGGGACAAAAGCUUCGGGAAUGUGGCUCCUCCGGGAGUGUUAUAGCCCGUUGCAUAAUACCCUGGGGCGGACUGAGGUUCGCGCAUCUGCAAGGAUGCUGGCGUAAUGGUCAUCAGCGACCCGUCUUGAAACACGGACCAAGGAGUCGUCUUCGUAUGCGAGUGUUCGGGUGUCAAACCCCUACGCGUAAUGAAAGUGAACGCAGGUGAGAGCUUCGGCGCAUCAUCGACCGAUCCUGAUGUUCUCGGAUGGAUUUGAGUAAGAGCAUACGGGGCCGGACCCGAAAGAAGGUGAACUAUGCCUGUAUAGGGUGAAGCCAGAGGAAACUCUGGUGGAGGCUCGCAGCGGUUCUGACGUGCAAAUCGAUCGUCAAAUAUGGGCAUGGGGGCGAAAGACUAAUCGAACCUUCUAGUAGCUGGUUUCCGCCGAAU